GUCGCCUGGGGAGGAGCCUGCGUCCGAUUAGCUUGUUGGUGGGGUAACGGCCUACCAAGGCUCCGAUCGGUAGCUGGUCUGAGAGGAUGAUCAGCCACACUGGAACUGAGACACGGUCCAGACUCCUACGGGAGGCAGCAGUGGGGAAUUUUGCGCAAUGGGGGAAACCCUGACGCAGCAACGCCGCGUGAGUGAUGAAGGCCUUCGGGUCGUAAAGCUCUGUCAGAGGGAAAGAAAUGUGGGGCGCUAAUACCGUUACCACUUGACGGUACCCUCAAAGGAAGCACCGGCUAACUCCGUGCCAGCAGCCGCGGUAAUACGGAGGGUGCGAGCGUUGUUCGGAAUUAUUGGGCGUAAAGCGCGUGUAGGCGGUUUUAUAAGUCUGAUGUGAAAGCCCCGGGCUCAACCUGGGAAGUGCAUUGGAAACUGUAAGACUUGAGUACGGGAGAGGGCAGUGGAAUUCCUAGUGUAGGAGUGAAAUCCGUAGAUAUUAGGAGGAACACCGGUGGCGAAGGCGGCUGCCUGGACCGAUACUGACGCUGAGACGCGAAAGCGUGGGUAGCAAACAGGAUUAGAUACCCUGGUAGUCCACGCCGUAAACGAUGAGUACUAGGUGUUGCGGGUAUUGACCCCUGCAGUGCCGCAGCUAACGCAUUAAGUACUCCGCCUGGGAAGUACGGUCGCAAGACUAAAACUCAAAGGAAUUGACGG
rnacentral:rRNA from 1 species